CAGGGGUGUAUUUGUAUUUACUGUUACCACUGGAAUGCAGUGGUGUACUUGUAUGUAGUGUUUGCGUUUGAAUGCAGGGGUGUGUGUUUGUAUGUAGUGUUGGCUUUUAAAUGCAGUUGUGCUUUUGUGUAUUGAGUUGCUGUUUGUAUAUAAUUUUUAGCACUGGCAUAUAUACACACACACACAGAUACACAAACUUUGAAACAGGCACUGGUGCAUAC